AGAGCAGCUCAGAAGACUCUGACUGAGAAGGACUUUCAUGUUCUGGUUUUAUCUCUGACUUCAUCAUGAGGCUGUCUCUGCUGCUGUUCAUAUCAGUCCUGGCACUCAGUUCUUCAAAAGCCCAGGCCCAAACAACAACUGAACAAACAACAUUUCUAUCGACAACAACACCUGAGACGACAACAACAUCUGGGACAGCGACAACUACUGAGACUACAACAACAUCUGCAGCGACAACUACACCUGAGAUGACAACAACAUCUCAGGUGAACCCA